UAGGGAAUCUUCGGCAAUGGGGGCGAACCCUGACCGAGCAACGCCGCGUGAGUGAAGAAGGUUUUCGGAUCGUAAAGCUCUGUUGUAAGAGAAGAACGUGUGUGAGAGUGGAAAGUUCACACAGUGACGGUAACUUACCAGAAAGGGACGGCUAACUACGUGCCUG
rnacentral:rRNA from 1 species